rnacentral:rRNA from 1 species
AUGCAGCCGUAUUGUUUGAAUGCUUUUGGUGCUCGUUCUCAUAUCAAGCUUCAGAGUAAGUUUUAUGGACCGUUCCGAGUGAUAGCAAAGGUGGGAAAUGUGGCCUACAAACUGCUGUUGCCGGAUAACGCGGCCAUACAUCCUGUCUUUCAUGUCAGCCAACUCAAGAAACACUUCGGACCUCAGGCAAUUCCUUGUGCUGACUUGCCUUUGAUCGGGCCAGAUGGACGUGUGCGCACUGAACCGUCCUGGGUGCUUGAGACGCGCCAGAUACCUCGCAACAAUGUUGCUGUGGUUCAGUGGUUGGUAAAAUGAGAGAACCUGCCUCCGGAAGAUGCAUCCUGGGAAGAUGCAGAUUUCAUGAAAAAGGUGUUCCCGGCUUUCUUCAAGCAAACGGUGGAUCGUUGGUUCAAUCGCCAAGCUCCUUGA